rnacentral:rRNA from 1 species
AUUGAACGCUGGCGGCAGGCCUAACACAUGCAAGUCGAACGAGUGGCGGACGGGUGAGUAAUGUCUGGGAAACUGCCCGAUGGCGGGGGAUAACUACUGGAAACGGUAGCUAAUACAGCAUACCAUCGGAUGUGCCCAGAUGGGAUUAGCUAGUAGGUGGGGUAACGGCUCACCUAGGCGACGAUCCCUAGCUGGUCUGAGAGGAUGACCAGCCACACUGGACCUGGGCCACGUUCCAGACUCCUACGGGAGGCAUCAGUGGGGACUAGUGCACAAUUGGCGCAAGCCUGAUGCAGCCAUGCCGCUUGUAUGAAGAAGGCCUUCGGGUUGUAAAGUACUUUCAGCGAGGAGGCGUUACUCGCAGAAGAAGCACCGGCUAACUCCGUGCCAGCAGCCGCGGUAAUAC